UGUAAACAGAAGUAACACACCGAUGGCUUUGAUGGUGUUGCGUUAAGCUUAAGACUAUACAAUGUUUUUCUUGGUGGUACUGGCGCUGCUGUUCUGCACUGAGGCACAAGACCUCCAAAACGUGUUUCUCCUUCAUGGAAGUGAUUUACACCUAGAUGUAAAGAAAUCUGUUGUACUUGACAAAAAGACUGACAUUUUCUGGAAGUAUAAUAUUACUAAUUAUGUUGGUAAACUUAGUUAUAAUAAAGAGGCAAUAUUGUUUGACAGUUAUGAAGAAAGAGCUGAGGUCUUUGGACGAAAUUUCUCUUUGGUAUUAAAGAAUGUAAAACACAGCGACAGUGGAUAUUAUACUGCAGUUGUGGUUGGAGGACAAGAGCAAAGUAUAGCUGAAUAGAAGGUCAUAGUCCAAGAUCCAGUCUCUCGUGCUGAGCUGACAGUGGACCAUCUUUCCAGCAGCUCAGACUCCUGUAACCUCACUGUGACCUGCAGCACAGUGGACUUAAACAUCAGCAGCACUUUUAGAUGUGAUGCCCAAAACUGCCUGCAGGUGGAAGAAAAGAGCUUAAACGUCUCAAAAUAUUUUUCUUCUCUGAUUGUUUACUUGCAGCAAGAUACCAUCUUUUGUAAUCAUAGCAACAAAGUGAGCUGGAAAGCGAACAAGACAGUGAUCAAGCCGUACUGUGAAAGAAAAUCAGGUUCAGAUGGUAUCUCUGUCUGUGUGGUGAAGACAGUCGUGUUCUCUGUCGGUCUGAUUAUCAUGGUGUUUGCUGUCAUCAGUGUUCAUCUCAUGGAGAAGAAAAAGAAGCAAAAAUAAACCUUUCUAAUGUAUAUAAAGCUCAUUCUUAUGUAGAAAACUUC